GGUAAUGUUUAGAGCCCAUUUUUCUUUGUUGGUAGUAGACAUGCUUUAUUUUUCAUACUCGGGUCCUCUCAUUCAACAUGCAGUUAGAAACCUGUGCCAAUGGAUACAUGAUGAGAAGUUUCAAGAAACUGAUUAUAUUGAAAACAAUGUUCAGUAUUUACUUAUGGCCAAUAAGACAGAAAUAUUAUUUAUGAUCAUAUGUUAAGUUGUGCAGUUUCAUUGCUUACAAGUGAAAAAUGAUGCUACUUUUACAGCUCCAAACUUGAGGGUAGACCACUAAGUUGCAGACUCUCAGACAAAGUACGUUGCUCAAAUAGAAUUACUUUUGUACUUUGUUGCUGAGAAGAUAAUGUACAUCUGGUAAUUUGUAUGUUCACAUCUAUUGGAUUUGCUGUGAUCUGGAUCUUAACAUAUAGCUAUUUGAUUAUUUAUGAAGGCAAAUGAUCAGUUACGCCAAUGGUUUGAAGACGAUGAAGCCCUUGAGCGUGCUAUUAAUGGAGAGUAUGUCUUCGACCAAAUAUGCAUGAGUAUCAUCCCUUACAUAUUUCUAACCACAAAUGUAGAUCACAUUACUUUUUGUCCAUCGUUGUUGUUUCAAUUAGGUGGAUUUUAUUACCGCAUGGAGAUGGAACAAGUCUUUUAAAGCCUAUAGUUUUAAGUCGAAAUGAGAUGAAACCCUUCAUAAUCGGGUAUGCCUAUUGCUGCACCUACUUACAAUGCAGUGUGACAUAAUAGUUCUUAGAUUUUACCUCCAAUUUAAAUAAAUUUAAUAUAGAAUUGAUUUUGGAUGUACCCUUUGAAACAUAAACGAUGAUCUUAAUUUCUGGUUGCUGAGCAGUACCAUUGCUAACUAUUAAAAAAACUAAUUUUUUACCCAUUUUCUUGUAUGUUUUUGUAAUUGCAGGAGUGCACCAACGCAAGAUCAUCCUGGCACUUCAGUUACAAUACCUUCCCCUCAGGUAGCACAAUUUAUCAUGACCUGAAUCAAACCCGAUUCCACACUUGACACUCUUCAACAUCAUGUAACAUAAUCAACAAAUUAUCUUUUUAAGGUUUCUCCAAGGCAUGCUCGAAUUAACUAUAAGGACGGUGCCUUCUUCUUGAUUGAUUUGCGGAGUGAACAUGGCACCUGGAUCAUUGAGUAAGUAAAAGAAAAGAAAAGAAAAGUGCUUUGUUUUACUUGAAGUUCUACACUCUUGACAAAUCUAUUUAACAUCAUUCUGAUCAUGUCUUCAGCAAUGAAGGAAAGCAAUACCGAGUACCUCCUAAUUAUCCUGCUCGCAUUCGUCCAUCUGAUGCUAUUCAGUUUGGUUCUGAGAAGGUGAGAUGAGAGGUUCUAAAAAACAGUUGCAGUUUUCAUAUUACACAUUUUCACCUUCUAGAACUUAUAUUUGGUAUAUGAGAUACCACAAAUCAUUAUCAGAAAGACUACACGUUUGCUUGAUUCACUGAUCACUAGUUUCAUUCACAGCCUAUAAGAAUUGCACAUUAAUAGUUGGAUGGUUCAAUGUCACAUUUAGUAGGGUUACUUGCUCACAUUGUAUCUCACACACUCAAUGGUCCAACACAAAACUAUUAAUUUAUUUGAUCUUGUAAUCAAUGCCGAAAUUUCAGCUGUUACUUUAUUUAAGGAGAUGUGCACAAAAAUAUCCAAGUGACAUUCCACAUUUCCCUCCUCUUUUUCUUAGAAAAAUAUUUCUACUCAUUCACUGACAAUAACAUACAAUCUCCAAUGCAUACUAUCAACUACACAUGCCUGAAAAGGUGCAGUUUUAUUUUGAAUGGUGCAUUAGUUGUGAUGUUUAAGCAUUUAUGUGCAGGUUUCAUUCCGUGUUAAGGUAACAAGAUCCGUCCCAAGAACACCAGAGAAUGAAAGGCCUUUAACAUUGCAGGAAGUGUGAGUGGUUCUGUUCAGUUGCAAUUUGCAAGUAAUGGAAAAGUUAUACAGGGAAAAAUUAAAUUUGUAGAUCAUUAUUAUCUGGGUUACUUUAGGAUGGGGUAUUGUACAUGUCUAUAUGGACUUUUAAGAGGGGUUGUUGGUUAUAAAUUCGUUACCCCACUCCAAUACUUUUUGUGUAAUAACAUUUGUUAGUUAAAUAGUUUUAUAACAUCAAUGAAACUUGCACCAAAUUAAUGUUGAAUGGAGUAGGCAAUGCCAACCUAAGAAU
rnacentral:lncRNA from 1 species